CGCCCCGCGGGCUCAGGCUCCCCAGCCUUGCUGCCCCGGCUGGCGGCGUGGCCUUACCGACUGCGCUCGACCCCGGGGCUCCUUUCCAGGGACCCAGCGGUGCCCGCUGCCGCCCCGAUUUCAGCAUCGCAGCCCGGCUCGCGCAGGGAGAGCAAAGUGAGGGCGCCCCCUCCCCUGCGCCUCCUUCCCGGCUCCGGGCCCGGCGCCCGGUUAAAGAGGAGAAGGGGAAGGUAUGCAAAUGACAAGCAAAUUGGAGGAGCCCGGCCGAGAGGCGGCUAUAAUAAACCAGACAAAGGCGCAGGGCUGGGGAGGAGCCCGGAGUUUGCGCCCGGGGAGGUGGGAAGGGGAGGCUCGUCGGAGAGCGGCGACCCUGGCGAACAAAAAGCGACCCGGUCUCCUGCGCGGUCCUCUCUCCCGAAAAGGGAGGGCGGAGACGCGGGGAGCAAGCGGACGCCUCCCCGCACCGCAGAAGCGGGACACAAAAGGUGACAAGUCCGGCGACCCCAGCCCCUGGCAGGCAGGGGAAGGAGAUAAAAGCCAGGGAUCCCUCAGCCUCGGGAGCGGGGCCGCGCCGCGCCGGGUCCCGGCUCGGAAAGUGUCCCGAGGCUGUGACGCGGUGCAUCCAACAUCACCACUUUCGGGGCGCGCGCGGCUGAGUGCGAGGCGCCGCUCCGUGCCACUCUCCCGCAGCCGCGCGCGAUCGGGGCAGGGGAGGCACUCGCGAGGGAGAGGUACUUACGGCGCGAGGGCGGCGGACGGGCCUCGCGCGCCCUCUCCCCUCGCUCGCUCUCCCUGUCGCCGGCAGGGAGCGGAAAACACGCGCGCGCUGGUUCGCGAGUGGCGGACGCGCGGGCGGAGCGGGCCGGUGAGUCGGCGCGGGCGGGCGCACCGGCCCCGGCUCCUGAGCGUGCGCCGCUCGGCUCGCCCGCUGCAGCGCCGUGGGUUUCCGAGCGCUCCCUCGGCUGAGGGCUCCGCUCCGCAAGAUUUACUUUAAGACGCAGCUGAAGGAAACAGGAAGACUGCACGUCACAGUCCGACUGACGUACCCGGCCCCAGCACCCAAUCGCGAGGCGCCUUCGGAUUCAAGGGGGGACGGCGAGGCAAGAGAACUUGGGAGGAAAAAAAUAUAUAAAAGGGGUGGGUGUGGGGGUGCGGGCUGGGGAGAGAGGAGGGAGAGCGGAGCGGCGGCUCCUCCCCGGCCCCCUCCCCGGCCGCGCUGCUCCGGGCGCUGCGACGCCGGCCGGGCCGCCGAGAGCCAUCUGCGGGCCGCGCGCCGCUCCCGGGCAGCCGGUCCUCGCCGCCGUGUACGCGCGUGUGUGUGUGUGCGCGCGUGUGUGUGCUUGUGCGUGUUUUUUUCCAUUUCCCAGAUACAGCUGAUCGGGUUCGCCCCGCGCCCCAGCGAGCGAGGGAGCGAGCGCUCCUCGGACUCGGGUGGAGGAAGGCACGGAAAAGUAUACUGGAGACAAAGUGGGGCUUUUCGGGGUGGCGGUGAUGCAGAAGGAGGGAGUGGAGGGUCCACAAAUCAGUCCGUUUUUAGAGCGAUCCUGGGUAGGAGCCGCAAUACAUGUCACGCUUCCUUUUAAAGAGGGGGUGGACUGUGAGAUGCAGGUAGGUCUGGGAUUAAAAUGAUACGUGCGGAGGUUUAACGCUGAGCUCGCUGCAUCCGAUAUAAAGGAGCAACACUGGCUGAGCCCCAGUCAACCACCAGCAAGAUUACUGGGAACAAGAAUAUUUACACCCCCACCACCACCACCACCUCUGACAGGGUCCCUGGGACUAUGGAUACAGCAGCUAUUUAAAAGUAUAUGUUACAAACAUUAUCUCGCUCAGUGUCCCCAGACCGACUCAGGAGCGCAGUCCAACACUGGAUUUACACGAUUUUGACACCUGGGUAACAAAGUUUAAAGUUUAUUAGGCAAGACAUAUCAAACGCUAGAAUCUCAGACUCCAACUUGAAACCGAAGAAAGUUCAUUUUGGCUUGACUUUCUGAGAUGAGAAAUACCCAGCACGGGUUCUCUAGAUAAGGCAGCUCUGGGCUUUGCAAGGUAACAGACGCUGAAGAGAGAGCCUCCAGCCACAGAGAGAAGAUGCCUUUCGCUGGGGACAGUAAACGGCUUUUAAUAAAGCAGGCGAGUUUAUCACUUAAAGAUCCUAUAAAAGCUAGGGCUCGCAGGAGCUGGGAAGUAGAAACUUUCAUGCCUACUCCAGUAGAUGCAUGUUUUUUAGGUUGAACGGGGACCAGCAGUUUUCCUGCGUCCCUCACAUUUAGUCAGAUCAAAGGUUGAAUCGUGUGUUGUGACAAGAGUAUUUAUGAGGUUCGUUGCUAGAACCCCAGGCUGGCUGGCUAUUACCACCAUCUUCUGCGACGGGGGGGGGGGGGGACACCACGCCUUUCUAGGACAUUUACAAUUUCAGCUUCAGGUUCAUCAAACUGUGAAGAGAUAGGAAGUCUCCUCUUUGAAUCAGAACAGCGGUGUUAGUAUGUCACAGUGUAUACUCUGUGGGAAACUUUAGGCACGGAAUUCAAACGUUAAGAAGAGGAGGAGGAAGAGGAGGAGGAAUAAUAAGGUCAACCAGGUUGGUGUCAGCAAUAAGAAAGGCUUUCAGGAGCAUCACCAGCCCUCUGCAGGCCCUUUCCCGCCCCCAGACACCCCUCCCUCCACCGUGCAAAUGCUCACCCUCACACUCAUGCCUCCAGCGAUCGCUAGGCUAGUGUAUCCAGUGUUCUAAUGGGGACGUGACAGUUUAGGCUGGGAACUGAAAUGGCUCCCAACAUGCCCAUGAGCUGCAGUGUGGAAUAAUAAUGCUUCUAUUGGUUGGGUCCCUUUCGAGGUAAGCGGGGUGUGUUAAGGGGGGAGUUGGGGUUGUGAGAAUGGAUCCAAACCACCGUCCCCGGCCUAUUAUUUUUUCCUUAAGUAUCUGUAAGCUAACAUAGAAGUUAGUAUCUAUCCACAAAUAAAAGUGGUAGGAGUAAGGGACAUUUACCCUGUACACCUUAAAACCAUCUGCCCAGCUUGCAGUUUAAGUGGGAGGAGGCCAAGGAAGGAAAAGAGGGCGAAAGGAGAGAGAGAGAGAGAGAGAGAGAGAGAGAGAGAGAGAGAGAGGUUUUCAACUUCAGCCCACAAGUUUGUGGCUGCACCUAGCGCCCCGUGCACGUUCAGCACACAUCACGUUUAGGAUCCGGCGGGGAAAGCUCCCUGCGCACCGCACCCGCGUCAGUCCUCUGUCUCAGGCCCAAGUCAAGUGGGAGGCCGGUAACAACCUUCGGGAAAAACAGGGAAAAUCGCUUGGCCCCAGGCCGGCUCGCGGGUCGCAAGCGCCCGGCAGUGAUUAGCAGCCCACCUCAGGGCGCAGGAGCCGGAGCCGAGGGUUGAAAUGGGCUGGAGCGAGCUCGUCUGGAGUCCAGCUCCGCGUGCUGCCACCUCCGAGACGUCCUUUUCCUGCCCGGCCCGGCGAGGCGACGUGCGGGCCAGGCUCCUGGCGACCUCUCCUCUCCGGCCAGGGGCGCUGUCAGGGCUUCGGCGGCCCCGGAGCAAGGCGCGAGGCCCAAGCCUCUAUCUCGGCGACGGUUUUCGGUUGGGAAGAAGCGAUCCGUCAGCCAGAGAAGAGAAGUGGCCUCGAUAUUGGCUCCAUCUGCGAGGCCACAUGCCGGGCUCAGGUCCUCGCAGCCCUUCCGCCGUCUGCGCUUGGCUCACACAAUCUCAGUAACUUGAAAGUUAGCGCAAGUCGCGAGCGGUCUCUAAGCAGCCCUCUCCGUGCAGGCUGCCUUUGCUUAUUUAUCUGGAAGCCGAUCUGUUCCUUCUCAGUCCGCUCGCACCUUCUCUCUCCUGCAUCAGGUGUGGGGCUAAGCGGCCUUCGCCAGGACGUCUCCCCUCCGGCUCUUUCUUAAAAGACACUGAGCGGGGCGUGGGAGGGAAGACGGUGCACACCGGUGGUUUAAAGCCUGGCAAACAACCGUCGCCAGAGCCUAAAACCAAUUCUGGGCAUUUCACCUAGAUCCCGCCAGAGGCUGGGGCUGUGGGCUCCGAGGGAGGACGGCUGAGGAGAGGCCCGCUCACCCCUGCCACCAAGCUCAGCGCGCAAAGAGACAGAAGCGGGCCUCCUCCCCGUCGCCCCCUGUGCGCAGCGUGAGGCCAAACUCCACCUGGGGCUGCUCUGAGUGGGGUAGGGGUGAAAUGCCACCAGAUCAGUAGCGAGGAGCAGCUGUGGACCCGCUCUCCGGGGAACCUCACAGCUCAGAGCCUUCCAGAGCGCAGAAUGGUCAGAAAAGUAAAAAUUCAUCGGAAGCAGGGGUUCGUGAUAAGGUGACCUCGAAGAGAAUCACUCGCCUCCCACAGACGCCCGCCCGCGGUGGGAGAGAGGGUGUCCGUGGUCUCAAGUCACGGUGCCCCGACUCUACGGACGUGGACGGAUAUCACCCAGGGAGCUGCCUUCCUGCCCGAGUAGUACUCGGAGGCUGGGAUCUCUCUUCGCCGCCAACCCUGGCUUUGCCUCAGGCACCGAACUUUCCAAUACCAAGAUAUUAACAGAUGGUGGCUAGCACAUGGUGGCGGUUACUUACAUAAUCCAGCCACUCCGCUGGCCGCGCGGGCCGGAGAGGCGCCCGGCAGGCCUUGCGCGGGCUUUUCGAGGGGCGCCCUUGCUCCCCCCAAAUGACUUGCUUUCUCCAACCCUACCCGGCGCUUUGAGGGCCAAGUCUGGAGAGGCCAAGCUUUCUGUAUAAAAUAUACAUUUAUCUGGUUGUGCUUGAUCGUCUUCGGUGGUGAUAAUCGUGAAGCUGGAGACCCAAAGGGAGAGAAGCAGAUGGGACCCCUUGGGGACACGGGGUGCGCUCCCUCCGCACCUGGGGGUGCCAGGGAGUGGGAUUUACACAGUUUCCACCCCCCCCAUCCCGAUCAGCCUGUAGGAAGGCUGGGGGGGGUGCGAGCGGACGCCUCUGCGCGCGGGGGCGCAGUGGGCAAAGUGGACGCGCGGCCCCUGGGCACCGCUGGCCUCCCAACCGGGCAAGGCUUGAGCGCUCGGCCUGCGUCCUGGGAGUUGCUUUCCGCUGCUUGCCCGCCUUCGGCCUGCGCGCCCUCGGCCACCUCCCCCAGGCCAGCCCCCUGCCCCUGCCUGUGCGCCUCCGCCUGAGCGCCCGGCCUUCGACCCGGGGCUGCCCAAACCCGUGCGGACCACGCCUGCGUGUCCGGCGAACUUUCGGGAUGGGCGGGAAGGUGGGAGCCUCCUGGCCGGGGGCCCGGUGGGAGCGGGGAUUCCUAGCCCGCGGCUCCACCCGUGUCCUCCUCCAUCCUCGCCCGCCCCGCCCCGCCCCCCACGGCCUGCAGCCUGGCUCCUUGGGCGGCUCGGCGUGCACGGGGCGCACGGGGCAGCGGCCUGCUCCCGAGCGCUGUGAAGCGGGGGGCGGGGG
rnacentral:lncRNA from 1 species